UUCACGUAAAUUGUUACGACAAACGCACGAAAAACGAAAAAUGGUGAAUACAAAAAACUCAAAUCACAAGUAAAAAAUAAAUAUAACACACACAGAUUUACGUAAAAAAUUUGUUGUAGGAAAAAAAUCACGGGCGAGUCGUAAAUCCGAACCUAAGUCGAUAAUAGAUUUCGAGUCAUAUCUAACAUAAAUAUUAGUAAAUAUAAUUACUCUUAGA
rnacentral:lncRNA from 1 species